UGGAAGAGCAGGUCCUGACGCUGCCACUUUGCCGAGGGGCUGAGCGACGACCAAACCAGCCACGAGAUGCUGGCGAUGAGGAAGAGCGAGCCGAGGAUGAUGGCGGCGAUCUGCACCUUCUCGAUCACGAGGAAUACAUCAGAGCUGAAGGUCAAUGACGAGACUGCACCAGGAUAAUCGUGAAGGGGGUUUUUGGUGCUAAUGGCCAGCACUUGGUAUUUAAAGUAGCAGAGCUCGCAGCUCCACGAGCCCCUCUCGCUGAUCCAGCGGAUGAGACACGGCUGAUGGGUGCAGCGCACGGAGCCAUCGCAGCGGCAUGGACUCAACAGCUCCCCCUGAUGGAAAAAUGAUCACAAAAUAUUAGCGCCGCUGUCCGAGGUGCUGAUCUCUGUGGAUGACGCACUGCUCACGUGUUAGAGACCCGGGAAAUAUGAUCGUCUGCGAGAGAGAGAGUGAGAGAAAGAGUGUUCCCCAAAUGGCUUUUUAGAAACUUCACACGUCGGCAGCUCGCUCAGCGAGUGGACAGGUGGUGGCUGUGAAGUUUUGCAGCUAAAACCAAGCGUGCGGAUACACACAGACCCAGCAGUGGGAGGUUAAGCCUGGCAACAAGCCUGAGAACACUACAGGGGAAGGGAAUCCAUUUUGUAGCUGCGUCCAUGCGCCUGCAAGAUCGUGAGGACAUCGGACUGACCUCGGUGAAGCUGAAGAAGAGACCCACACCACCCAGAAUCCUCAGAGCCUCGGAGGCAUGCUGCAGCAUUUUCUCACCACACGUCCUGCAAGUUUUUAGGCAGCUCUGGGGGACGAAAGAA